AGAGCAAAUAUUUAUAUCAGUUGAGGAGCUACAAGCGUUAAUACACGAUGAGGUUCAUCCAGUGCGCGUUCCUGUUCAUUCUCGCGAUGUUAGUGGUUGAUAUCACGGCAACUCCACAACUACCACUGACUUUACUUCGAACUAGCAAUCAGCGGGAAUGCGACAGUGACGCCGACUGCCGACCUUGGUAUGGGUGUGAUAUCAGGACCUGUAGCAAGGGAAAAUGCUUGUGUUCGGGCGAGGAACGUUAGGAGGCGAUAUUGUAAACUUAAAUGUCGUUUCCUAGUCAUUUCCGGUGAGAUAAAUUUCUUAAUUAAACAAUAGGCUAGUUUCCUUAAAAAAUAAUAAUUAGUCCGUCUUGUAGAUUGUCCAAAAUUAAGCGAUACGUAUUUUUUCUUUUUUAAAUCGGAUCAGAACUUGUUAAGAUAUAGCGUGUUAAAGUUGAGUGUGACGUCACAAGUUGCUACAAUUUUCAGGACACUGUGACGUAAAAGGCCCCCACUCCUAAUUUUUGAAG
rnacentral:lncRNA from 1 species